GAUCAUGGCUCAGGAUGAACGCUAGCGACAGGCUUAACACAUGCAAGUCGAGGGGCAGCGGGGAGUAGCAAUACUUCGCCGGCGACCGGCGCACGGGUUAGUAACACGUGUGCAACCAACCCCGUACCGGGAGAUAACCCGCGGAAACGUGGACUAACAUCCCAUAAUACUGGAGGAUCGCAUGAUCUUUCAUUUAAAAUUCCGGUGGUACGGGACGGGCACGCGCGACAUUAGGUAGUUGGCGGGGUAACGGCCCACCAAGCCG
rnacentral:rRNA from 1 species